GCUUACGGCACACCACCCUGAACACGCCGAUCUCGUCCGAUCUCGGAAGCGAAGCAGGGCCGGGCCUGGUUAGUACUUGGAUGGGAGACGCGUGGGAAUACCAGGUGCUGUAAGUU
rnacentral:rRNA from 1 species